AACAGUCGGCGGCAAUUGCAGUUGAUUAAGCCGAGGCACAACAACUGCAAUUGCCCAACACCGCAAACAAUAAAUUCAGUUGGCCAGAAUGGGAAGCCCCGGCAACAGCAACUGCAACUAAGCGCCACAAAAGUUUAGCCAACAAUAAUUUCGAGUUAACUUUGACACUUGCAACUGGAACUGGAACUGGGCUUCGACCGGAGAACAGAAGAACCGGAGCACAGGCGCACCGGAGUACCGGAGGAACAGAGAACUGGAUGCCCGGUGGAGACCUCCUGCCAGGAGAAGCUGGCUCACUGCAAAUGCAGUUGUCAUAAUUUUGCAUUUCCCCCACCAGAGCUGCCCAGCAAUUUGUCCGAUCUCCCGACGGCCUGCUGUGACUUCUGCCAAAGUUGUGUGUUUGGGUCUUUUGUGUUUUUAGCAGGCGGUGUGGGGGGUCGGGAACCGGCUUAUUGUCGGGUGACAGGACAACAGGACCACUACUCUCUGGUCGACAGCUUCGUAGGUGCCAAUGUACCGGUCUCCUACCGGCAGGUGCUCCAACUGCCAAUGCACUGAUAAAAUUUUAAUACUUCUUUGCAACUUUGACAUAAUAAU
ensembl:ncRNA lncRNA:CR45258 long non-coding RNA:CR45258